rnacentral:rRNA from 1 species
GACGAACGCUGGCGGCGUGCUUAACACAUGCAAGUCGAGCGGUAAGGCCUCUUCGGGGGUACACGAGCGGCGAACGGGUGAGUAACACGUGGGUGACCUGCCCUCAGCUCUGGGAUAAGCCUGGGAAACUGGGUCUAAUACCGGAUAUGACCUUUCCUCGCAUGGGGUUUGGUGGAAAGUUUUUUCGGCUGGGGAUGGGCCCGCGGCCUAUCAGCUUGUUGGUGGGGUGAUGGCCUACCAAGGCGACGACGGGUAGCCGGCCUGAGAGGGCGACCGGCCACACUGGGACUGAGACACGGCCCAGACUCCUACGGGAGACAGCAGUGGGGAAUAUUGCGCAAUGGGCGGAAGCCUGACGCAGCGACGCCGCGUGGGGGAUGACGGCCUUCGGGUUGUAAACCUCUUUCGACCCCGACGAUUUUGGACGGUAGGGGUAGAAGAAGCACCGGCCAACUACGUG